GAUGAACGCUAGCGGCAGGCCUAACACAUGCAAGUCGAGGGGCAGCACAUAAAGUGGUUUACUACUUUUGGUGGCGACCGGCGGACGGGUGCGUAACGCGUAUGCAACCUGCCUCCAACAGGGGGAUAACGGAGAGAAAUUUCCACUAAUACCCCAUAAUAUCAGAAUCGGCAUCGGUUUUGGUUGAAAACUCCGGUGGUUGGAGAUGGGCAUGCGUCGUAUUAGAUCGUUGGUGAGGUAACGGCCCACCAAGUCAACGAGACAUAGGGGGACUGAGAGGUUAGCCCCCCACACUGGUACGGAGACACGGACCAGACUCCUACGGGAGGCAGCAGUGAGGAAUAUUGGUCAAUGGGGGCAACCCUGAACCAGCCAUGCCGCGUGCAGGAAGACGGCUCUAUGAGUUGUAAACUGCUUUUACAAGGGGAUAAAUCGGUGUACGUGUACACCGUUGAAGGUACCUUGGGAAUAAGGAUCGGCUAACUCCGUGCCAGCAGCCGCCGUAA
rnacentral:rRNA from 1 species